CUGAUCCAGCAAUGCCGCGUGUGUGAAGAAGGCCUCCGGGUUGUAAAGCACUUUUAGCAGGAAAGAAAGGCCGUGCGCUACUACCGUCCGGUUUUGACGUUACUUGCAGAAAAAGCACCGGCUAACUCCGUGCCAGCAGCCGCGGUAAUACGGAGGGUGCAAGCGUUAAUCGGAAUUACUGGGCGUAAAGCGCGCGUAGGCGGCUUGUUAAGUCGGAUGUGAAAUCCCCGGUCUCAACCUGGGAACUGCAUUCGAUACUGGCUGGCUAGAGUGUGGUAGAGAGAAGUGAAAUUACAGGUGUAGCGGUGAUAUGCGUAGAUAUCUGGGGGAACAUCAGUGGCGAAGGCGGCUUCCUGGACCAACACUGACGCUGAGGCGCGAAAGCGUGGGGAGCAAACA
rnacentral:rRNA from 1 species